rnacentral:rRNA from 1 species
CCUACGGGUGGCUUCAGUGGGGAAUAUUGGGCAAUGGGCGCAAGCCUGACCCAGCAACGCCGCGUGAAGGAAGAAGGCUCUCGGGUUGUUAACCUUUUUUAAGAGGGAAGAGCAGAAGACGGUACCUCUCGAAUCAGCCACGGCUAACUACGAGACAGUAGGCGCGGUGCUACGUAGGUGGCAAGCGUUGUCCGGAUGUACUGGGUGUAAAGGGCGUUUAGGCGGGUUGACAAGUCAGAUGUGAAAUCCGGGGGCACAAACCCCGAACUGCAUUUGAAACUGUUGGUCUUGAGUAUCGGAGAGGCAGGCGGAAUGCCUGGUGUAGCGGUGAAAUGCGUAGAUAUUAGGCAGAACACCAGUUGCGAAGGCAGCCUGCUGGACGACAACUGACGGUGAGGCACGAAAGCGUGGGGAGCGAACAGGAUUAGAUACCCUUGUAGUC